rnacentral:rRNA from 1 species
AGAGAGAGACAUGCGCGCAUAUCAAUAAGCGGAGGAAAAGAAACUAACAAGGAUUCCCUUAGUAACGGCGAGGUGAAGCGGGAAGAGCUCAAAUUUGAAAUCUUCAAGGGUUUACCUUUACGAAUUGUAGUUUAAAGAAGUGUUUUCUGUUGAGGUUUUGGUAAAAGUUCUUUGGAAUAGGACAUCAUAGAGGGUGAGAAUCCCGUAUUUGACCUUUACUUUCAACCUUUGUGAUACACUUUCAAAGAGUCGGAUUGUUUGGGAAUGCAGUCCAAAAUGGGUGGUAAAUUUCAUCUAAAGCUAAAUAUUGGCGAGAGACCGGUAGCGAACAAGUACCGUGAGGGAAAGAUGAAAAGAACUUUGAAAAGAGAGUUAAACAGUACGUGAAAUUGUCAAAAGGGAAGCGUUUGACACCAGUGUUGUUUUUCUGAAAAUCAAUUAAAGAACUGUUUAUGCUAAGUUGUUUAGACUUUAUCAGCUAACUGUUUAGUUUUGAGCUUUUCUUUAAUGCACUUUUCAGUUAACAAGUCAACAUCAAUUUCUUUUGCCUGUAAAAAAGCUUGAGGAAGGUGGCUUGAGAUUCGUCUUAAGUGUUUAUAGCCUCUUGCCUAUGCAGUCGGAGAGAUUGAGGUCUGCAGCGUAGAUCCUUCGGGGCUAAAUGCAUUUGUGCUAAGUUAUAGCAUUUUAUAGACAACUUGUUGACUAUGAUUUGUCUUGUAGCUUACUCGCUUAUGUUAUUUUACCUACGCUUAGGAUGUUGAGCGCAUGUCUCUCUCU